rnacentral:rRNA from 1 species
UAUUCCCCACUGCUGCCUCCCGUAGGAGUCUGGGCCGUGUCUCAGUCCCAAUGUGGCCGUCCGCCCUCUCAGGCCGGCUACUGAUCGUCGCUUUGGUGGGCCGUUACCCCGCCAACUGGCUAAUCAGACGCGGAUCCAUCUCACACCGAUAAAUCUUUUCACACUUUAUCAUGCGAUAUCGUGCGCUUAUGCGGUAUUAUCAGUCGUUUCCAACUGCUAUCCCCCUGUGUGAGCCAGGUUAUCCACGCGUUACUCACCCGUCCGCCACUAAGCAUAAACAAGUUCGCUUCCUCAGCAAGCUGAUUCUUCUCACAGCGUCUAUGCUCCGUUCGACUUGCAUGUGUUAGGCACGCCGCCAGCGUUCAUCCUGAGCCAA